rnacentral:rRNA from 1 species
UACGGAGGAUGCAAGCGUUAUCCGGAAUGAUUGGGCGUAAAGCGUCCGCAGGUGGCAAUGUAAGUCUGCUGUUAAAGAGUCUAGCUCAACUAGAUACAAGCAGUGGAAACUACAUAGCUAGAGUACGUUCGGGGCAGAGGGAAUUCCUGGUGUAGCGGUGAAUGCGUAGAGAUCAGGAAGAACACCAGUGGCGAAGGCGCUCUGCUAGGCCGUAACUGACACUGAGGGACGAAAGCUAGGGGAGCGAAUGG